GAACUGUCCCAAAAGGCAUUGUGGCAAAAUGGUUUAUUUUAUUUGCGCAUGCGUGAUAUGUUUCCAUUUAAGAAAGAAAUUCCAGAGGCCUUCAUUUAGUACAAUUUUAAAUUUCAUGUAUGUGAACAAUAUUUCUUUGUAUAUCCGUGUUUUUUAAGAGUUUGCAACAUCAAAAGUUUGAAGCAAGGCAAUCGAUCAACAGGGCUCUCAUAAAACCAUGACCAGCUGACAAUUUAAAGAAGUAUAGUAUAAAACAAAUGCCGAAGAAGCCAGACAUCUUGAGAUUGCAAAAUAUGCAUCAAAAGAAGACGAGAAGUGAACUGUAAAUUUUUGACUUUAUUUCAAAGUCAUCCUCAGACAGAAUGUGAACGUGGAGAGGAAAGGAAGCACAUAAAGUGAUGAUGCGAACAGCAGUGUGUCAUAUGAAUGUCGAUGUUUUGAGCAAGAAAAUGAAUUGGAGAUUUGAAUGAACAAAGUGAAGAUAUUACUGACAAUUAUGACAAGCACAAAGAGUUAACCACCAAAACACAGGACUCUGAAGAUAUCUUUACCAAGCAAUCUAUCUCUAUUAUUACAAAGGAAUCUAAACAACCAUGUCAACUUAGUCAAGUAGUUCUCACUUAUACAGUUAUACUUUAUACUGUUUACCACUAGUUCAUGUUUUUAAUGUGUUAUAAAUAACACUUUGCUUGAUAAUUGCAUAAGCAUGAAACACUGUGUAGCAAUACUUUAUCAGCAUAAAAAUACAUUAAAUGAUAUUUUUGAAAUUGUAAAUAUGAAUAAUUACUGUAUACUUGUUGUUUCACUGUCAUCUGUCUCCCAUGACCACUACACUGGGCUAUUGCUACAGUUUGACUUUGCAUCAAAUGUAUCAUGUCAGCAAUCAUUUGUUGUUCAUGAUUAUAAUGCAAACAAAAGAACAAUUAGAGUAAUGUCAAAUUUUAGCAUCGUAAAUUCAAUGUUGGGAAUAUACCCAACAAAAUGAUAUUGCUUGUUUCUGUUUUUCUAGAAAAUUCAGUUGUUUUGCAUGAUACUAUUUUUUGACACUAUGAUCUGCAUGUAUAUCUACUUCAGCAUAAUUCAUUUGCAUUUGUCCAUCGAUUACCAACCUAUUGGUUAAAAGCUGCUCAUGUGAUGCAAAUCGAAGGCAAUUUGUUGAAGCCCUGCCUAACAAUAUACAAUUAGGUCUUCAAAAGUAUGUAAAUAAAAUCUUACUGUACUUGUCAGAUAUAACAUAUACCAGUUGCAUGCAAAAAUGUAAAUUUUACUUUUUUUCACAUUUUUAUAUAAUUCAUAUAAUUCAUACUUGUUUA